GGCUUUAUGCAGUGGCUAUAGGGAAAUCAAUGAGGUUUACCCAAGGCCCAAUUAUUGCUAAUUAAAAACUUGUCCCAGUAUCCCAUUACAACAACUGGAAAUAUAGUUAGCAUAGGAGAUUCCUGACAAUCUCUACAGAGA
rnacentral:snRNA from 1 species